rnacentral:tRNA from 1 species
UAUGUUGUAGUCUUGGUUGGUUAGGAUACUCGGCUCUCACCCGAGAGACCCGGGUUCAAGUCCCGGCAAUGGAA